AGCGAACGCUGGCGGCAGGCUUAACACAUGCAAGUCGAACGCCCCGCAAGGGGAGUGGCAGACGGGUGAGUAACGCGUGGGAAUCUACCUAGUUCUACGGAACAACAGUUGGAAACGACUGCUAAUACCGUAUACGCCCUAUGGGGGAAAGAUUUAUCGGAAUUAGAUGAGCCCGCGUAAGAUUAGCUAGUUGGUGGGGUAAUGGCCUACCAAGGCGACGAUCUUUAGCU
rnacentral:rRNA from 1 species